rnacentral:rRNA from 1 species
UACGGGGGGAGCAAGCGUUGUUCGGAUUUACUGGGCGUAAAGGGCGCGUAGGCGGCCACUGCAAGUCAGUUGUGAAAUCUCCGGGCUUAACCCGGAAAGGUCAGCUGAUACUGCAGGGCUAGAGUGCAGAAGGGGCAACUGGAAUUCUCGGUGUAGCGGUGAAAUGCGUAGAUAUCGAGAGGAACACCUGCGGCGAAGGCGGUUACCUGGAGCUUUGCUGACGCUGAUGCGCGAAAGCGUGGGGGAGCGAUCCGG